rnacentral:rRNA from 1 species
UCGAACGAAGCACUGCGGAAAGAGACUUCGGUCAAUUGAAGCUUUGACUUAGUGGCGGACGGGUGAGUAAUGCAUGAGCAACCUGCCCUGGAGAGGGGGACAACAGCUGGAAACGGCUGCUAAUACCGCAUGAAGUUGCGGGGAGGCAUCUUCCUGCAACCAAAGAUUUAUCGCUCUGGGGUGGGCUCAUGUCUGAUUAGAUAGUUGGCGGGGCAACGGCCCACCAAGUCUACGAUCAGUAGCCGGACUGAGAGGUUGAACGGCCACAUUGGGACUGAGAUACGGCCCAGACUCCUACGGGAGGCAGCAGUGGGGAAUAUUGGGCAAUGGGCGCAAGCCUGACCCAGCAACGCCGCGUGAAGGAAGAAGGCUUUCGGGUUGUAAACUUCUUUUAUCAGGGACGAAGAAAGUGACGGUACCUGAUGAAUAAGCCACGGCUAACUACGUGCCAGCAGCCGCGGUAAUACGUAGGUGGCGAGCGUUGUCCGGAUUUACUGGGUGU